rnacentral:lncRNA from 1 species
GGUUAACCAAUUCCAAGAAGCGUUUGGCCUUAGUGAUAUCAAGGAAUAUAACCUCCUUGGUGAUAUCUAAUUGAAUAAAAUGAUGUGUUACUAGAAUUUUGAGGUGUCCGUUUACUUGAAAUAUUGAGAGCUGUACACCAGUCGUCUUUAACUAAAAUAUUAUCCAAUCAAUCAAGUUGUGACGUCAACCUUCCGAGACAAAAUAAAUAUACCCACUGGUUCCCACCGACUUUGUUAGAUUAGAUCAUGAACUUCAUUAUUCUAUGACUAGGGAACAAAAAUCGAUCCAGUAAAAAAACCAUCGCAUUUCUCUAUACCCGUUUAAUUUUCAGUCCAACCAGAGCAAUGCCUGAAAACGUUUUUCUAUAUCAUUGACCAGUUCAAGACCCAAAACCAAAACAUGCGAUAAUACAAAAUUCCAUUUCAGAGUAAGUCACGAACAAUUCCGUAGAUUGACGACCGUAACUCCAAAAUACCCCUCGGAUUAACCAUCCGUCUAAAUAUCACCAGUACGAAAGUUUUCCCCAAUCUAAAGAAAUACUGCCCUGACGAGGUUUUUAAAAAUAUCCAAGUCUGGACAUUGAGUCUCAAGCACGAGAAAAACGAUCCCCGCGAAACUUGAAGUGACCGGACA